rnacentral:rRNA from 1 species
UACAUGGGGUGCAAACGUUGCUCGGAAUUAUUGGGCGUAAAGCGCACGUAGGCGGUCCGUUAAGUCGCAUGUGAAAUCCCUCGGCUCAACCGAGGAAGUGCGUGCGAAACUGGCGGGCUAGAGUACGGAAGAGGGUCGCGGAAUUCCCGGUGUAGAGGUGAAAUUCGUAGAUAUCGGGAGGAACACCGGUGGCGAAGGCGGCGACCUGGGUCGAUACUGACGCUGAGGUGCGAAAGCGUGGGGAGCAAACAGG